UUUCGCAAUGCCCGAAAGGGUGACCGAGCGACGCCGCGUGUGGGAUGAAGGCCCUCGGGUUGUAAACCACUGUCAGUCGGGAAGAAUACCUGGAUGGUGAAUCCAGGGGCGACGGUACCGGCAGAGGAAGCCACGGCUAACUCCGUGCCAGCAGCCGCGGUAAUACGGAGGUGGCAAGCGUUGUUCGGAAUUACUGGGCGUAAAGGGCGCGUAGGCGGACUGGUCCGUCCGAUGUAAAAGUGCUACCGCUCAACGGAGCAACGGCAUCGGAUACCGCCAGUCUGGAGACCGGGAGAGGUCAGUGGAAUUGCCGGUGUAGCGGUGGAAUGUAUAGAUAUCGGCAAGAACACCUGUGGCGAAGGCGGCUGACCGGCCCGGUUCUGACGCUGAGUGCGCGAAAGCGUGGGGAGCAAACGGGAUUAGAUACCCCGGUAGUCCACGCCCUAAACGGUGGGCACUAAGUAGAGGGGUUUUAAUCUC
rnacentral:rRNA from 1 species